rnacentral:hammerhead_ribozyme from 1 species
GUACCGCUGAAGAGUUCCAGACUAGGAUGAAACAACCGUCCAGUAC